GCGGAUGGCCGGAUGGCCGCGGUCCCGUCAGGGGUCGAGGAAAGUCCGGACUCCACGGAGCGACGGUGCCGGGUAACGCCCGGCGGGGGAAACCCCAGGGACAGCGCCACAGAGAACAGACCGCCCCCGCCUGCGGGGGUAAGGGUGAAACGGUGGGGUAAGGGCCCACCGCGGGACUGGCAACAGGACCGGCACGGCAAGCCCCACCGGGAGCAAUGCCGAAUAGGGACCCCGCGCACCGCGCGUGCAGGGCAGCUUCGGCCCAGGGGUCCGGGUUGGCAGCUAGAGCGUAUCGGCAACGAUGCGCGCAGAGGAAUGGUCAUCCAGCCCCGGAUCACGGUUCGGGGUGGACAGAAUCCGGCUUACAGGCCGUCCGCGCAU
rnacentral:RNase_P_RNA from 2 species